rnacentral:rRNA from 1 species
AUUGAACGCUGGCGGCAGGCCUAACACAUGCAAGUCGAACGAGUGGCGGACGGGUGAGUAAUGUCUGGGAAACUGCCCGAUGGAGGGGGAUAACUACUGGAAACGGUAGCUAAUACCGCAUACCAUCGGAUGUGCCCAGAUGGGCUUAGCUAGUAGGUGGGGUAACGGCUUACCUGGGCGACGAUCCCUGGCUGGUCUGAGAGGAUGACCAGCCGCACUGGAACGGGAACACGGUCCAGACGCCUACGGGAGGCAGCAGUGGGGAAUAUUGCACAAUGGGCGCAAGCCUGAUGCAGCCAUGCCGCGUGUAUGAAGAAGGCCUUCGGGGUGUAAAGUACUUUCAGCGAGGAGGCGUUACUCGCAGAAGAAGCACCGGCUAACUCCGUGCCAGCCGCCGCGGUAAUUC